AUAAGGUUUGCAACAUCCCAGGUGCAAAGCAGACGGAAUUAAUUGACACUGAGAUAGUUUUAAACAUCAAGAGCAGUGUGAGAGGGGAAUUCACCACGUUUCAUCUCCAAUUUUCAUCUGAUAGAUUCCUGGAUUCAAAAGAAAAAAGGAUGGAUGUGGGACGGUUUGUAUCAAUCAUCCUGAUUCUAAUAGGAACAGGAACUACCAUGACUGCAGUACCAACAACAGCUGCACCUACAACGGCUGCACCUACAACUGCAUCACCAACAACAGCUGCACCUACAACUGCUGCAUCUACAACUGCAGCACCUACAACUGCGGCACCCACAACCGCAGCACCUACAAC